UACGUAGGGUGCAAGCGUUGUCCGGAAUUAUUGGGCGUAAAGAGCUCGUAGGCGGUUUGUCGCGUCGGCUGUGAAAACCUGGGGCUUAACUCCGGGCCUGCAGCCGAUACGGGCAAGCUAGAGUUCGGCAGGGGAGACUGGAAUUCCUGGUGUAGCGGUGAAAUGCGCAGAUAUCAGGAGGAACACCGAUGGCGAAGGCAGGUCUCUGGGCCACUACUGACGCUGAGAAGCGAAAGCAUGGGGAGCGAACAGG
rnacentral:rRNA from 1 species